ensembl:snoRNA
UCUGAUCAAUGAUUGAUACCUUUUAAAAUGUGACUGUUGGAUGAAACAUGCGGAUAUGGGACUGAGAUCAGAA